AUAGUAUUAAGAAGCUAUUCGAUGAGGCUUUUGGUGCUUAUGUCGACAAAAAAGGUCGCCAUAACAAGAAUUUUGGUCGCACAGUUAUAUGGAAACAUUUUCAGGCACACAUACAACCACCUGGCAGUAUGCUUUGCGGACAAUAUGUGAUGUACCACAUGUUAUCCUUUGCGGAUAAUCUUAGUUUGGACCGUGAUCGA